rnacentral:rRNA from 1 species
CCUACGGGGGGCAGCAGUGGGGAAUCUUGGGCAAUGGGCGCAAGCCUGACCCAGCAACGCCGCGUGAAGGAAGAAGGCUUUCGGGUUGUAAACUUCUUUUCUGAGGGACGAAGAAAGUGACGGUACCUCAGGAAUAAGCCACGGCCAACUACGUACCAGCAGCCGCGGUAAUACGUAGGUGGCAAGCGUUAUCCGGAGUUAUUGGGUGUAAAGGGCGUGUAGGCGGGUAAGCAAGUCAGAUGUGAAAACCCAGGGCUCAACCCUGAGCCUGCAUUUGAAACUGUGUGUCUUGAGUGCUGGAGAGGCAAUCGGAAGUCCGGGUGUAGCGGUGAAAUGCGUAGAUAUACGGAGGAACACCAGUGGCGAAGGCGGAUUGCUGGACAGUAACUGACGCUGAGGCGCGAAAGCGUGGGGAGCAAACAGGAUUAGAUACCCUGGUAGUC